rnacentral:rRNA from 1 species
GACGAACGCUGGCGGCGUGCUUAACACAUGCAAGUCGAACGGAAAGGCCCUUCGGGGUACUCGAGUGGCGAACGGGUGAGUAACACGUGGGUGAUCUGCCCUGCACUUUGGGAUAAGCCUGGGAAACUGGGUCUAAUACCGAAUAGGACCGCGCGCUUCAUGGUGUGUGGGGGAAAGCUUUUGCGGUGUGGGAUGGGCCCGCGGCCUAUCAGCUUGUUGGUGGGGUAAUGGCCUACCAAGGCGACGACGGGUAGCCGGCCUGAGAGGGUGACCGGCCACACUGGGACUGAGAUACGGCCCAGACUCCUACGGGAGGCAGCAGUGGGGAAUAUUGCACAAUGGGCGCAAGCCUGAUGCAGCGACGCCGCGUGCGGGAUGACGGCCUUCGGGUUGUAAACCUCUUUCACCAGGGACGAAGCGCAAGUGACGGUACCUGGAGAAGAAGCACCGGCCAACUACGUG